GGAAAAUGAUUACAAGGUGAAGUUUAUCGUGCCGUGGAUUGGUUCAGACACGUUUCUUGUGGAAUCCGUUAAAGACGAUCAGGUUGUAUCUUGUGUGAUACCCUCUGCAACAGGGGUCAGGUCGAUUAAAGAAACUGUUCGCUGUAAACAAGUUAUAUAAUGCGCAACAUUACCGUAAUCGCAUUGUAUUAGUGUAGCCUUAGUGAAUACUUUGUGUUAUAAAAAUUGUAUAUUUAGUUAAUAGUGUAAUCCAAUCGUAGUAUUGUAAUAAAAAUUAUAAUUUGAGAGCAAAAA